GGAUCGAUGAAGAUCGCAGCUAGCUGCGAGUCGGAAUGUGAACUGCAGGACACAUGAACAGCGACAUUUUAAACGCAUAUUAUAGAUUGUGACUCAGUUACAAUCUAUACCUGGCUCAGGGUC
rnacentral:rRNA from 1 species